UGAAUACGAGAUGCUACGGCGUCGAAGCAGUCUAUGUCAUACUUCCAAGAAAAGCUUGCACUGUCAUAAACAAAUAAUGCCUGUACCAUAACCGACACAGGUGGGUAGGUAGAGUAUACUAAGGGGCGCGAGAUAACUCUCUCUAAGGAACUCGGCAAAAUGACUCCGUAACUUCGGGAGAAGGAGUGCCUUAUUUAUAAGGUUGCAAUAACAAGAUCCAAGCAACUGUUUACCAAAAACACAGGUCUCCGCUAAGUCGUAAGACGAUGUAUGGGGGCUGACGCCUGCCCAGUGCCAGAAGGUUAAAGAAGUUGGUUAGCAUCCGCGAAGCUGAUAACUGAAGCCCUGGUGAACGGCGGCCGUAACAAUAACGGUCCUAAGGUAGCGAAAUUCCUUGUCGGGUAAGUUCCGACCCGCACGAAAGGCGUAAUGAUUUGGAUACUGUCUCGGAGAGGGGCUCGGUGAAAUAGACUUGUCUGUGAAGAUGCGGACUACCUGCACCAGGACAGAAAGACCCUAUGAAGCUUUACUGUAACCUGAAAUUGAAAUUGGACUUUACUUGCGCAGUAUAGGUGGGAGGCGUUGAGAAUAUUCUUGCGGGAUUAUUGGAGCCAUCAGUGAGAUACCACUCUUGUUAUGUUAGAUUUCUAACUUUGUAUCAUUAUCUGGUCAAAGAACAGUUUCAGGCGGGCAGUUUGACAGGGGCGGUCGCCUCCUAAACGGUAACGGAGGCGCACAAAGGUUUCCUCUGAACGGGUAGAAAUCGUAUCUAGAGUGUAAAGGCAUAAGGAAGCUUGACUGUGAGACCUACAAGUCGAGCAGGGACGAAAGUCGGUCUUAGUGAUCUGACGGUGCUGAGUGGAAAGGCCGUCACUCAACGGAUAAAAGUUACUCUAAGGAUAACAGGUUGAUCUCCCCCAAGAGUUCACAUCGACGGGGAGGUUUGGCACCUCGAUGUCGGCUCAUCGCAUCCUGGGGCGGUAGUACGUCCCAAGGGUUGGGCUGUUCGCCCAUGAAAGCGGUACGCGAGCUGGGUUCAGAACGUCGUGAGACAGUUCGGUCCAUAUCCGGUGUAGGCGUUAGAAUAUUGAGAGGAGCCUUCUUUAGUACGAGAGGACCGAGAAGGACAUACCUCUGGUGUACCAGUUAUCGUGCCAACGGUAAACGCUGGGUAGCUAUGUGUGGAGUGGAUAACUGCUGAAAGCAUCUAAGUGGGAAGCCCACCUCAAGAUAAGUAUUCUCUU
rnacentral:rRNA from 1 species